UACGUAGGGUCCGAGCGUUGUCCGGAUUUAUUGGGCGUAAAGAGCUCGUAGGCGGCUUGUCGCGUCGACUGUGAAAACCCGAGGCUCAACCUCGGGCCUGCAGUGGGUACGGGCAGACUAGAGUGCGGUAGGGGAGAUUGGAAUUCCUGGUGUAGCGGUGGAAUGCGCAGAUAUCAGGAGGAACACCAAUGGCGUAGGCAGAUCUCUGGGCCGUAACUGACGCUGAGGAGCGAAAGCAUGGGGAGCGAACAGG
rnacentral:rRNA from 1 species